rnacentral:lncRNA from 1 species
AUGAUAGAGCCUUGUAGUGACUCAUAUGUGGCUGCAGGUGCAACUGAAAAACAAGACCGUGGGUAUAAAUUCAGCCAAUGCUGCUCAGAAAUUUGCCUAUGUUUUCUUACUGCAAAGCUCUGUCAUGUUUGCUAUAAGGAAAGUUGCAAGUACAAUAACCUACAGAUGACAGUCAGGAAGGAUUUGCAGAUACACUGAUGUUAAGGAGCUGACUGAGAUACCGAAGAAUGAUGAGAUACGGCAGCGCAGGAUCAAAAGGAGAGGAAGACAGGUCUCUGUGCAGUAUGGGAAUGACAGCACAGGAAGAAAAAUAUUACAGGCCCUACCACCCCAAUUCUCUCAUUAACUGCAUAAGGGAGGACAGCACAGAAUAAAACGUUCCUUGUCCCACCCA